GUGAGGAAUUUUCCGCAAUGGGCGAAAGCCUGACGGAGCAAUGCCGCGUGAAGGAUGACGGCCUAUGGGUUGUAAACUUCUUUUCUCAGAAAAGAAUUAUGACGGUAUCUGAGGAAUAAGCAUCGGCUAACUCUGUGCCAGCAGCCGCGGUAAGACAGAGGAUGCAAGCGUUAUCCGGAAUGAUUGGGCGUAAAGCGUCUGUAGGUUGUUUAAAAAGUAUUCUGUCAAAGAUUAGGGCUUAACCCUAGAUAGGCAGAAUAAACUUUUAAGCUAGAGUUUGGUAGAGGCAGAGGGAAUUCCCGGUGGAGCGGUGAAAUGCGUAGAUAUCGGGAGGAACACCAAAGGCGAAGGCACUCUGCUGGGCCAAUACUAACACUGAGAGACGAAAGCGAGGGGAGCAAAUGGGAUUAGAAACCCGGGUAGUCC
rnacentral:rRNA from 1 species